rnacentral:lncRNA from 1 species
GAACGUGUUGUGUUCCUCUGAUUAUUCAGCAUAGUUCACAGGAAGACCUGCAGCUCAUGAAGCUUUGUCUUGGAUCUUGAAGCUGUCUUUGACCUGAUGCUGUUUAAAGAAGACAGACCACAUGAAGUGAACUUGGAAAGCUGCGUGUAAAUAAAAGCGAUCAGUAAUGGUCACAUGGUCAGAUAUAUAUAAAGAUAUGUACAGGUGGACUCAGACAGUCGUCAGCUUCACCAACAUUUUGCACUAUGACAGAAACAUGAUGCCACUUUAAUUUCUAAGGAUUGUAAUGAGGCCGUAGUUUUAUUCAUGAAUGAACCGCUGCUGUCUGAAACACUCACUCACAAACACAGGACACCUGGAGCGCCCCCUGCUGGCUGGCUGCAGUAUAGGUCAUCAACCCCACCUCCUCCAUGUUAGUGGAUGGAGUGGAUCAUGGAAAUAAAAUCAGCUGGAUGUGCUGAAGACUGGAGAGAACUGUUUCUCUGUUUGAUAUGAACUAAAGACACAAAAUAUUUUCUAUGAACAACAAGCAGAGUCAUGGUGUUACGAAGAGGACACACAAAGCUAACAACUGAUGUGUUUAUUCCUGCAGGUACACAGGGAGUAAGUCAGUGGAAGAACAUGGAGGAUUCAACAUCCUGUGGACAACAUGUCUCAGAGCAUGAAGCUGUCAGAGCUUCACCACUCAUACACAUAGUGGUCGAGACGGAGUCGAUCACGGAGUCCAAGAUAUUCGUGUACCCGCAGCUCCUGGAGCCAUGCACGGUCCUGAUGGAUGAUUGUAUAGCCCUGUCCCCUCCUCCUCUUCCAUCUGUGAGUUGUACACAGGAAAUAAGUCAGUGUAAGAACAUGGAGGACAUAGUCUAUCCCCCAGAAAUGUAUCCAAAUGGACAACAUGUCUCAGAGCAUGAAGCUGUCAGGUGAGGUGAUGUCCUCUAAUCAGCUCCAAACACAGUCUGAGUCUGUCACAGCAGUUCUUCCACUCUACAGAGCUCAGUCAGUGUGAAAGUGUUUAACAUGCAG